rnacentral:rRNA from 1 species
GACGAACGCUGGCGGCGUGCUUAACACAUGCAAGUCGAACGGAGUGGCGAACGGGUGAGUAACACGUGGGUGACCUUCCCUGCACUUCGGGAUAAGCCUGGGAAACUGGGUCUAAUACCGGAUAGGGGGUGAUGGGCCCGCGGCCUAUCAGCUUGUUGGUGGGGUAAUGGACUACCAAGGCGGCGACGGGUAGCCGGCCGGGGAGGGUGGACGGCCCCAUGGGGCCUGAGUGACGGACCAGACUCCUACGGGAGGCAACAGGGGGGAGUAUUGCACAAUGGGCGGAAGCCUGAUGCAGCGACGCCGCGGUGGGGAUGACGGCCUUCGGGGUGUAAACUCCUUUCGCCAUCUACGCGGUAGAUGGAGAAGAAGCACCGGCUAACUACGUGCCAGCAGCCGCGGUAAUUC